CAGCCGCGGUAAUACCAGCACCGCUAGCGUAUACUAAAGUUGUUGCUGUUAAAACGCUCCUAGUUGGAUAUCAGCCGAGGAGGGCAUGGCCCGGCCGCGUUGCGGCCGCGCGCCAAAGCGGUUUUCAAAACCGUCGCCCCUUCGGCUUUUUCAGGAGUGCCGGUCUGCCCAUUUACUUGGGUCGGCCGGCGUGCUCUGAUCUUUUACUUUGAGAAAAUUAGAGUGCUCAAAGCAGGCUUCGCCUAUAUGCAUAUCAUGGAAUAAUAAGAC
rnacentral:rRNA from 1 species